rnacentral:rRNA from 1 species
GAUCAUGGCUCAGAUUGAACGCUGGCGGAAUGCUUUACACAUGCAAGUCGAACGGUAGAGGGGCAACCCCUCGAGAGUGGCGAACGGGUGAGUAAUAUAUCGGAACGUGCCCAGUCGUGGGGGAUAACGUAGCGAAAGUUACGCUAAUACCGCAUACGAUCUAUGGAUGAAAGCGGGGGACCGUAAGGCCUCGCGCGAUUGGAGCGGCCGAUGUCAGAUUAGCUAGUUGGUGGGGUAAAGGCCCACCAAGGCGACGAUCUGUAGCUGGUCUGAGAGGACGACCAGCCACACUGGGACUGAGACACGGCCCAGACUCCUACGGGAGGCAGCAGUGGGAAUUUUGGACAAUGGGCGCAAGCCUGAUCCAGCAAUGCCGCGUGCAGGAAGAAGGCCUUCGGGUUGUAAACUGCUUUUGUACGGAACGAAAAGGUCUGGGUUAAUACCCUGGGCUCAUGACGGUACCGUAAGAAUAAGCACCGGCUAACUACGUG